GCCUUCGUGGUGUAGAGGUCAGCACGCUCGACGCGUGAGGAGAGGUCCGUGGUUCGAUUCCCGGCGAAGGCG
rnacentral:tRNA from 1 species